rnacentral:lncRNA from 1 species
AUCCGUAGACGACACUAUAAACAAAGGGUGUAUGUAAACAUGAAUGGUGAAGAGAAAGGCCUUCUCUUUUAUGAUAUUGGGAUUCAAAGAACAAGAACAAUUGAAACCAAGCUUAAUUAUAGUGGGUGGGGUAGCUGCAUUUUAAGUUAGUCCAAGAACAAGGGGAAGACAACAUUGGGUGAUCAUUGAUCAUACAUACACAGUUAUGUAUAUAUAUAUAUAUAUAUAUAUAUGUGAAU